rnacentral:rRNA from 1 species
UGAUCGUGAUUAUUGGGUCUAAAGGGUCCGUAGCCGGUUUGGUCAGUCCUCCGGGAAAUCUGAUAGCUCAACUAUUAGGCUUUCGGGGGAUACUGCCAGACUUGGAACCGGGAGAGGUAAGAGGUACUACAGGGGUAGGAGUGAAAUCUUGUAAUCCCUGUGGGACCACCUGUGGCGAAGGCGUCUUACCAGAACGGGUUCGACGGUGAGGGACGAAAGCUGGGGGCACGAACCGGAUUAGAUACCCGGGUAGUCCCAGCCGUAAACGAUGCUCGCUAGGUGUCAGGCAUGGCGCGACCGUGUCUGGUGCCGCAGGGAAGCCGUGAAGCGAGCCACCUGGGAAGUACGGCCGCAAGGCUGAAACUUAAAGGAAUUGGCGGGGGAGCACAACAACGGGUGGAGCCCUGCGGUUUAAUUGGACUCAACGCCGGACAACUCACCGGGGGCGACAGCAAUAUGUAGGCCAAGCUGAAGACUUUGCCUGAAUCGCUGAGGAGUGGUGCAUGG